rnacentral:tRNA from 1 species
GGAGAGUUGGCAGAGUGGUUGAAUGCGGCGGUCUUGAAAACCGUUAUAGGCGCAAGUCUAUCCGGGGUUCGAAUCCCUGACUCUCCG